rnacentral:rRNA from 1 species
UACGUAGGGGGCUAGCGUUGUCCGGAAUCAUUGGGCGUAAAGAGCGUGUAGGCGGCUUGGUAAGUCCGCUGUGAAAGUCCAGGGCUCAACCCUGGAAAGCCAGUGGAAACUGUCAAGCUAGAGUCCGGAAGAGGCGAGUGGAACUCCUGGUGUAGCGGUGAAAUGCGCAGAUAUCAGGAAGAACACCAAUGGCGAAGGCAGAUCUCUGGGCCGUAACUGACGCUGAGGAGCGAAGCGUGGGAGCAAACAGG